rnacentral:rRNA from 1 species
CACGUGGGCAACCUGCCCUCAGCUCUGGGAUAACUCCGGGAAACCGGUGCUAAUACUGGAUAGGACUUCGCAUCGCAUGGUGUGGGGUGGAAAGUUUUUCGGCUGAGGAUGGGCCCGCGGCCUAUCAGCUUGUUGGUGGGGUGAUGGCCUACCAAGGCGACGACGGGUAGCCGGCCUGAGAGGGCGACCGGCCACACUGGGACUGAGACACGGCCCAGACUCCUACGGGAGGCAGCAGUGGGGAAUAUUGCGCAAUGGGCGGAAGCCUGACGCAGCGACGCCGCGUGAGGGAUGACGGCC